rnacentral:rRNA from 1 species
UUUUACUAUCAAAUCCAAUUUUAUUAAAUUUUUCAUAUUUAAAUCCAUAAAUAUAUUUUAUUGUAACUCAUUUAUACUUAAAAAUAAACUACACCUUGAUUUGAUAUUAAAUUUAAUUAAAUUUAUAGAAAAUUAUUAUUCUUAUAAAAUAUUCUAAUAACAACGAUAUAUAAAUUGACUAACAAUUUUAAGUAAGGUACAUCGUGGAUUAUCGAUUAUAAAACAAGUUCCUCUGAAUAGACUAAAAUACCGCCAAAUUUUUUAAGUUUUAAGAAUNUNAC